rnacentral:rRNA from 1 species
GAUGAACGCUGGCGGCGUGCCUAAUACAUGCAAGUCGAGCGAACAGACGAGAGUGCUUGCACUCUCUGACGUUAGCGGCGGACGGGUGAGUAACACGUGGGUAACCUACCUAUAAGACUGGGAUAACUUCGGGAAACCGGAGCUAAUACCGGAUAAUAUUUAGCUUCGCAUGAAGCAAUAGUGAAAGACGGUUCUGCUGUCACCUAUAGAUGGACCCGCGGUGUAUUAGCUAGUUGGUGAGGUAACGGCUCACCAAGGCAACGAUACAUAGCCGACCUGAGAGGGUGAUCGGCCACACUGGGACUGAGACACGGCCCAGACUCCUACGGGAGGCAGCAGUAGGGAAUCUUCCGCAAUGGACGAAAGUCUGACGGAGCAAUGCCGCGUGAGUGAAGAAGGUUUUCGGAUCGUAAAACUCUGUUGUAAGGGAAGAACAAGUACGCUAGUAACUGAACGUACCUUGACGGUACCUGACCAGAAAGCCACGGCUAACUACGUG